GAGGCGUGUUGAGCAACAGUGAAGCAGUGCUUCUGCUUUACUUCUUUUGUAUAUUGAAUGAGAAUUGGUGGAAGGCGGUAGGCAGCACAGUGCUUCUGCUUUAGUUCUUUUGUAGUAUUGUAUGCGAUUGUUGGAAGGUGGUAAGCAAGCACAGAAGAGAAAAAAAAAAAAGAGGAAAAGAAAUUCCACUCUCUCCCGUUCUCACGUCCGAAAACAACCCAAAGAACAGAGCAAAUUUCUCCAAGAUUUUUCUCGCUCCACAGGCCAUCGAUCGACCCCAGACCACGUCCCACGCCUUCGCCUCCUCCUUUCACAGCUGCCGGUAACAGCCUUUCGCCGUCUCGUGGGCCGUACACGGCGGUGGAGCACAAGGCCGGUUUACCCCCGUUUUGAUUUCAAGCUUGAUAUCUCAAGCUACCAGUCACCACUCCUCACCAAACUCCAUCCACAAGCUCGCCUCAACGUCCUGAAGCUCCCAGAAGUGGCCUUGCACGGCGGCGCUACUCGUGGUGGCGGCUGGAAGCCAGACCCGAUCAAAUCGAAAACCGAAGCUUCGAGCAAUAUAUCUCGCGCUACAGGACGUUGUUUUGAGUGUUUCUUGAACUGGUGAACUCAGAGUGAGGAUCUGAACAACUUUCCAGAAGGUAUCGAGGCCUGAAGUUGCAGUUUUUACGUCGAACUAGGAGCUCGCCGGUUUCUGGGUUUUUCCGGCCAACCGACUGGUUUGAGGUGAUCGACGGUUUGAUUUGGCGGACGAUUCGUGAAAGUGUAUUUUGAGCUGUUAAGAAGACGCAGCGGGAAUUUAGAGCGGGAAAUCCUACAGGUCAGGAGAACCAGGACGGUGAUCGGGCUGCUUAGAGUAGUGUUAUGUGAAUUACAGCAUUAUAUUGUGAGGUUUGUUAUGCUCAUUUAGAGCUUUGCAAUUUUACUUUGUAAGAGUGAAUUGUAAUAAUUAACUCGAGGGUUUCGAGUUUUUGUGUUGA